rnacentral:rRNA from 1 species
AUUGAACGCUGGCGGCAGGCCUAACACAUGCAAGUCGAACGGUAGCACAGGAGAGCUUGCUCUCUGGGUGACGAGUGGCGGACGGGUGAGUAAUGCAUGGGGAGCUGCCCAAUCGAGGGGGAUACCAGCUGGAAACGGCUGCUAAUACCGCAUACGCCCUGAGGGGGAAAGGUGGGGACCUUCGGGCCUACCGCGAUUGGACGCACCCAUGUGGGAUUGGCUAGUUGGUGAGGUAACGGCUCACCAAGGCGACGAUCUCUAGCUGGUCUGAGAGGAUGACCAGCCACACUGGAACUGAGACACGGUCCAGACUCCCACGGGAGGCAGCAGUGGGGAAUAUUGCACAAUGGGGGAAACCCUGAUGCAGCCAUGCCGCGUGUGUGAAGAAGGCCUUCGGGUUGUAAAGCACUUUCAGUGGGGAGGAAGGGGCGAUGCCUAAUACGCAUUGUCAUUGACGUUACCCACAGAAGAAGCACCGGCUAACUCCGUGCCAGCAGCCGCAGUAAAAC